UGAUAUCCCGCUCGACGUGGCCUUCCACGUUUGACAAUUUUAUUCAAUUUAAAAUACAAAGCAACAGUAUUUUAUUUUAUUCAUUUUCCUUCUUCUCCCGUGCAUCGCCACAGCGUUUACAAUUUUUUUUUUCUCUCCAGCCCCCAUCGACUUCGCCCUCUCCAGACCCACCAUUUCGUCGUCCCCAACCCCACGAGUUCGAGCCCCACCAGUUCAAGGUCCCCUCUCAGCCAUCUCUGAUGGAAUCUCCAAGGACAACACUGUGGAGGCUUUCCAUCGGGACUUCAGUGUUUUUUGAUUGGUAGACGCCAUAAGACAAACUUGUAAUCUUGGGAUUUUAUAUUGUAAUCUUGGGAUUUUGUUGAACCUGUUUUUGUAUUGACGUGUUUAGAUCAUUAAUUGUAAUCUUGGGAUUGUAUUGAACCUGUUUUUGUAAUCGUCAUUUUUGUAUAUCAACGUUUGUGGGCAGUGACCAUUGCAAUC